rnacentral:rRNA from 1 species
CAAUAGCGUAUAUUUAAGUUGUUGCAGUUAAAAAGCUCGUAGUUGGAUUUCGGAUGGGACUUGCCGGUCCGUCGUUUCGAUGUGCACUGGCCAGUCCUAUCUUGUUGUCGGGGACUAGCUCCUGGGCUUCACUGUCCGGGACUAGGAGCUGACGAGGUUACUUUGAGUGAAUUAGAGUGUUCAAAGCAAGCCUACGCUCUGAAUACAUUAGCAUGGAAUAACACGAUAGGACUCUGGCUUAUCUUGUUGGUCUGUGAGACCAGAGUAAUGAUUAAGAGGGACAGUCGGGGGCAUUCGUAUUUCAUUGUCAGAGGUGAAAUUCUUGGAUUUAUGAAAGACGAACUUCUGCGAAAGCAUUUGUCAAGGAUGUUUUCAUUAA